AACGAACGCUGGCGGCGUGCCUAAUACAUGCAAGUCGAGCGAACAGAUGAGAAGCUUGCUUCUCUGAUGUUAGCGGCGGACGGGUGAGUAACACGUGGGUAACCUACCUAUAAGACUGGGAUAACACCGGGAAACCGGGGCUAAUACCGGAUAAUAUUUUGAACCGCAUGGUUCAAUAGUGAAAGACGGUUUCGGCUGUCCCUUAUAUAUUGACCCGCGCCGGAUUAGCUAGUUGGUAAGGUAACGGCUUACCAAGGAGACGAUACGUAGCCGACCUGAGAGGGUGAUCGGCCACACUGGAACUGAGACACGGUCCAGACUCCUACGGGAGGCAGCAGUAGGGAAUCUUCCGCAAUGGGCGAAAGCCUGACGGAGCAACGCCGCGUGAGUGAUGAAGGUCUUCGGAUUGUAAAACUCUGUUGUUAGGGAAGAACAAAUUUGUUAGUAACUGAACAAGUCCUGACGGUACCUAACCAGAAAGCCACGGCUAACUACGUGCCAGCCGCCGCAGUAC
rnacentral:rRNA from 1 species